ensembl:lncRNA
CUGUAGCUAAGACUGUUUGUGUUUAAAUUUUUAACUCUCCUUUGAUGGUUAGAUCUUAUUUCAUUUUUCAUAAAUAAAAGUUAAACCUUUUGUGACAGCAACUCGAGAACAAGCAAUGACCCUGAUUGUCUCUGUCUCAACACAAUUUCAAAUAGACACCUAAAACAUACUUCACAUAUAACAUUUUCAUGACUGAACUUGGGGAUUCCUCUGUGCUGAGCACACAUAUUAGGAACUCAGUAAAUAUUGGUUGAUUUAAUUCAGUAUACACCUGGAAACUGAUAAAGAAGUGCUUCUUCGUGUUGGCCGUCAUGAAAUUACAUUAUGGUUGUUUGUGGUAGUCCUGUGAAGCAGAGCUUUCACUUUCCCCUAGAAAUAGUUGGAAAAGCAAACAACUGUCUAGAUAACAGGGGUAAACAUGAAUAAAAUACAUUUACAGUAUCCUACCUUGAUGACAGAUUUGCAAAUCUGUCUGCUUAAAUGUUCAAGAAACAGAAAAAUUGCACAGGAAAUAAAAACCUGUGUAUUUUCCUAUCAAAACUGGUGAAGAAUAUCUGGCUUAAUUAUGGGAACCUGCACCCUGAGAAUGACACAGAUAACAGAAAGUAAGUAUAGAAGAGUCUGGAAACCUUACGCAUUGUGAGAAAUUGUGGCGAGGACUGGGUGGUACAGCAGGUAAGAAUUUUUCUUUGAUGUUAGGCACUAUUGGAGAGCUUUGCUCUUUUUAGAUUUCUGUUCAUAGUCAAGUUUUAAUCCUUGAGCUCCCGAGGCUGGUCUGGGGUUAGUUACCAUCAAGAGUUACCCAUUUUCGAAGCCCUUACUCUCGCAGCUCCUGUGGCUUUUUUCCUAAGUCAGUUUUACCGUCCUUGCCAUUUUUUCCCCCUCAAAGAGUUCUCCCUAGAGGUUCCUAAGUUUUUAUGAGCUUCUUGAGAGUGCCGACCAGUUUGCCAGAGGGCUUCAGUGUUGCUAAAUCCUGAGUCAAACUCUCUGCCCUUUCCCCCAGGCUUACUAGGCUCUAGCAGUGGAAUAGAAACAAGCAGGAAAUGGGAACUAACUGUAGAGAGACAAGGGGCCCCGUCUGGAGCAUGAACUUGGUUUGAAGACCAACUCUACAGCUGUACUGCUAACCCUGCCCUCAAUUUUAGACUGCCCUGGACGUUGAGGAUUCACUCUGGCUAUCUCUCAAGUGAUUUUUAAAAUUCAAAUUACUUUAACUUACCAGUGGGAAAGACUGUGGUUUUUCCAUAAAAUAAAAAACUGCCACAUUUAUACUAUAUUUGGUUU